rnacentral:rRNA from 1 species
UUCCGGUUGAUCCUGCCGGACCUGACUGCUAUCGGAUUGAUACUAAGCCAUGCGAGUCAUUGUAGUAAUACAAGGCAAACGGCUCAGUAACGCGUAGUCAACCUACCCUAUGGACGGGAAUAACCUCGGGAAACUGAGUAUAAUGCCCGAUAGAACACUAUGCCUGGAAUGGUUUGUGUUCCAAAUGAUUUAUCGCCAUAGGAUGGGACUGCGGCCUAUCAGUUUGUUGGUGAGGUAAUGGCCCACCAAGACUAUUACAGGUACGGGCUCUGAGAGGAGUAGCCCGGAGAUGGGUACUGAGACACGGACCCAGGCCCUAUGGGGCGCAGCAGGCGAGAAAACUUUGCAAUGUGCGAAAGCACGACAAGGUUAAUCCGAGUGGUUUCUGCUAAAGGAACCUUUUGUCGGUCCUAGAAACACCGAUGAAUAAGGGGUGGGCAAGUUCUGGUGUCAGCCGCCGCGGUAAAACCAGCACCUCAAGUGGUCAGGAUGAUUAUUGGGCCUAAAGCAUCCGUAGCCGGCUCUGUAAGUUUUCGGUUAAAUCUGUACGCUCAACGUACAGGCUGCCGGGAAUACUGCAGAGCUAGGGAGUGGGAGAGGUAGACGGUACUCGGUAGGAAGGGGUAAAAUCCUUUGAUCUAUUGAUGACCACCUGUGGCGAAGGCGGUCUACCAGAACACGUCCGACGGUGAGGGAUGAAAGCUGGGGGAGCAAACCGGAUUAGAUACCCGGGUAGUCCCAGCUGUAAACUAUGCAAACUCAGUGAUGCAUUGGCUUGUGGCCAAUGCAGUGCUGCAGGGAAGCCGUUAAGUUUGCCGCCUGGGAAGUACGUACGCAAGUAUGAAACUUAAAGGAAUUGGCGGGGGAGCACCACAAGGGGUGAACCCUCGGUUCAAUUGGAUUCAACGCCGG